ACCAAGUAUAUCUUUGGAAACAAAUCUAUACAAGCUCUCUAUCCAUAUUAGACUUUUCUCUCUUUCACUUUGGUUCUGCUUCCAGUCAUGAAUUGAGUUUAUUAUUACGAAUUCGUACUAGUACUAGUAUAUGCGCAGUUGAGACGGGUAUAAUUAAGAGUUCGGUGAGAUGAUUUCAAAAUUGAGAAGGAAUGGAAGAUUGGGAUAAUAUGGAACUCUUAAAAUCUUCGAAGGACAUGGUGGAGAAGCUACGAGAGAAGCUCAAAUCAACACACCUCUUGCAAACAACAAAGAUGCUCUACUAUUUGUCGAAAGUCCUGAAAGAAGAGUCUGCCUGAAUCAAAUGGUUACAUGUGUGUCGAGGAAAAUGGUGGCUUAAAUCAGCAAACGAUGUUGGCCAUAGUCUUAGCUAUGAAUGCUUUGUAUUUCCUUGAAAAUUGAGGAUAUUUAUGGGCUCAAAUUGGUAUUGUUUUUACGGUAUGUUCUUCAUUUUCUAGACUACAUUGAUACUGACUUGGAGGGAAGUCUGCUAGAUAUUAACUUUCCUUAAAUGUGUUUUCGAUAUUAAUCUGUGGCGCAAUGGUAGCGGGUCUGGCUCCAGGUCAGAAGGUUGCGUGUUCGAUUCACGUCAGAUUCACAUCCUUAUUCCUCUUGUUUAGGUGAUGUUUUAUCUUGGGAAGACAUACAAUUAGUAGAAUCACAUUUGGAAUACUUAUAUGAUUGUCAAAUAAUCAUAACAUUGCCAAAAUGUAGUCGAACUGAAAUAUCAAAAUAUCGUCAAACUGAAAAAACUUUUUAAGAAAAAGCAUGUCCUAUAUAGUCUUAUAAACUAAUCUCUCAUCUGACUUCAAUUGGUUGUCCAUCAGUGAGUUUCCACUGAAUGGUUAAGCUUUUGAACUAUUCAGCAGUUAGGCUUACACCAAGUCAUUACAAGCUUUUAGGACUUCCAUCGCAGUUAUUUGUCCAUACUUUGAGAUCUUCUCACUUCCGCAUUUAACUCGGUUUUGGAAAGAUUUCUGCAGAAAAUGAUAAAGAUUUUAUUAGUUAAGAAGCAUUGCAUGUGUCCAAAUUUAUCAGCGAGCAAGAAUGCAAGUAUAAUGUCAUCUUUAGUUUACAAAUUACUUCACAGGUCUAUUAUUACCUGAGUUUGGUAAUCACUAUUGUAUCCCAAGUGAAACUGUAUCCUCACUGCUGGAGUUUGUACCUACAUGAAUAUAAACACGGUUUGAAUAGAAAAUUAAUGAUGCACGGAAAAGUUAAGAUUUUGUAUU